AUACGUAGGGUGCAAGCGUUAAUCGGAAUUACUGGGCGUAAAGCGUGCGCAGGCGGUUUUGUAAGACAGAGGUGAAAUCCCCGGGCUCAACCUGGGAACUGCCAUUGUGACUGCAAGGCUGGAGGGCGGUAGAGGGGGGUGGAAUUCCGCGUGUAGCAGUGAAAUGCGUAGAUAUGCGGAGGAACACCGAUGGCGAAGGCAAUCCCCUGGGCCUGCACUGACGCUCAUGCACGAAAGCGUGGGGAGCAAACAGGAUUAGAUACCCUGGUAGUCCACGCCCUAAACGAUGUCAACUGGUUGUUGGGGAUUUAUUUUCUCAGUAACGAAGCUAACGCGUGAAGUUGACCGCCUGGGGAGUACGGCCGCAAGGUUAAAACUCAAAUGAAUUGACGGGG
rnacentral:rRNA from 1 species